UACGUAGGGGGCAAGCGUUGUCCGGAUUUAUUGGGCGUAAAGAGCUCGUAGGUGGUUUGGUAAGUCGGGGGUGAAAUCCUGGAGCUCAACUCCAGAACUGCCUUCGAUACUGGCGAUCUCGAGUUCGGGAGAGGUGAGUGGAACUGCGAGUGUAGAGGUGAAAUUCGUAGAUAUUCGCAAGAACACCAGUGGCGAAGGCGGCUCACUGGCCCGAUACUGACGCUGAGGUGCGAAAGCGUGGGGAGCAAACAGGG
rnacentral:rRNA from 1 species